rnacentral:rRNA from 1 species
UACGUAGGGCGCAAGCGUUAUCCGGAAUUAUUGGGCGUAAAGAGCUCGUAGGCGGUUUGUCGCGUCUGCCGUGAAAGUCCGGGGCUCAACUCCGGAUCUGCGGUGGGUACGGGCAGACUAGAGUGAUGUAGGGGAGACUGGAAUUCCUGGUGUAGCGGUGAAAUGCGCAGAUAUCAGGAGGAACACCGAGUGGCAAGGCGGCUCUGGCGCUACUUAACUGCGUGAGGAGCGAAAAGCAUGGGGAGCGAACAGG